GACCAGGGAGUGUGCGUCUGCGUUAAUGAUUUCUAUUUCAGCACUUGGACAAAACUAUGUGAAAAAAGACUAACUAAAGGCUAUGAAUGUAACAUAACAGAUGAAUGUAAAGUCAACAUGACUUGUGCACUUGGACAUUGUGGUUGUCUUACAGGGUAUUAUUACCAGAAUAUUGAACAACAGUGUUACCCUGCAUUUAAACUUGGACAACAGUGUGAUCCUUCAAUUCAAGACAUGUGUGUGUCGCAUGAUCUCGUCUGCAGACGUGACACACUUUACAGUUACACUUGUCAACAGAGUUUUGAUGGCCAGAUUACUGUGAUACCGAACGUUAAAUCGGAAGCAGAUACUGGCACAACACUUAUCGCAUUAAUUGUAGUCUCUGUCUUCGGUUGGGCUGUUGCUAUAGCAACUGGGGGUCUGUGUGAUUGUCUUAUGUAGAAGAAUUCGAAACACAUCUACAGCCAAUGGGUGUGAUAAUCAAUUCAAGAAAAACACUGGAACUAAAAAGAAUGAUUACAGAACUUUCCCUCCUAAAGCUGACCAAGAUUCCUUAGAGUACGUCAACAAAGACGAUCUGGACGCUACAUCUUCAGUUCAGUCUUACUCUAAUCUUCAAAUCACGACCAGUGCACAGCCUGCUUUGUCUGCUAGACCAACAGCCAACAGCAAACCUUUCAUACCUGUGAAGCCACCAAAGGCGUCAAGGGGUCCAUUUGGUGGCAAGAAACUCUCCACUCCUACGUCCACUUUUACUAAUACAACGUUUGAGCCGGAACCAGUACAAGAGGAGGAGGAUGUCUAUGAGGAACUACGUGUACCUGAGAUGCUGUAUCACAACGAGGGUACCGUGAAGAAGGGAGAUACCAAUAGCAAUAUUUAUCAGAACUGCGGCAUCUCUAGCAUUGAUCAAAACUAGAUUUGUGAUUUAGAUAAAGUUGUAAUACAAGAAAAAAAUGAAUUAAAACUAUGUACACUGUAAAAAUACAUUGCUAAUAAUUUAUUGACGAUCUUUUGCUAUUUAUUAAGUAAAUGACCUAAAACUUUAA
rnacentral:sRNA from 1 species